AUUUUCUUUUGGUGGAUAUGGGUAUUACGUUCCUCAAUCUGAUGACGUUGUGCAGAUGGAAGUGAUGUGUCACUCUCUCCUCUCACUUUAUAAUUAUAUGACUCUCUUCUCUCAUUUCCAUUCUCAAGAGUCACUCUCUUCACUUACUCUUCAUUCAUUUCCAGUAAAUCGGUGGACAUGAACUUUACCGUUCUUCGCUGGUGACCUUCUUUAAAAGGAUUUUUCUUUCUGGUGACCUUGUGCAGAUGCAAGGUAGAAAGGAAAGUGAUGUUAUCAUUUCCAUUCUCAAGAGUCACUCUCUUCUCUUACUCUUCAUUCGUUUCCCGU